CAUUGUCGAAUCCUGCCCAGCAGAACGACCAGAGAA
rnacentral:rRNA from 27 species